rnacentral:miRNA from 1 species
GAGCACAGGCUGCUGUGGGUGCCCCACAUAUACAGGUCAGCUCCUCAGCUGCCUCUUGCCAUCGCAG